AGAGUUUGAUCCUGGCUCAGAUUGAACGCUGGCGGCGUGCGUAACACAUGCAAGUCGAGCGGUAACAGGUGUAGCAAUACAUGCUGACGAGCGGCGAACGGGUGAGUAAUGCUUCGGAAUCUACCUUAUGGUGGGGAAUAACUAGCCGAAAGGUUAGCUAAUACCGCAUACGUCCUACGGGAGAAAGCAGGGGAUCGUAAGACCUUGCGCCAAAAGAUGAGCCGAAGUCGGAUUAGCUAGUUGGUAGGGUAACGGCCUACCAAGGCGACGAUCCGUAGCUGGUCUGAGAGGACGACCAGCCACACUGGGACUGAGACACGGCCCAGACUCCUACGGGAGGCAGCAGUGGGGAAUAUUGGACAAUGGGGGAAACCCUGAUCCAGCGACGCCGCGUGUGUGAAGAAGGCCUGCGGGUUGUAAAGCACU
rnacentral:rRNA from 1 species